GGCAAACGCUGGCGGCGUGCUUAACACAUGCAAGUCGAACGGAAAGGCCCUGCUUUUGUGGGGUGCUCGAGUGGCGAACGGGUGAGUAACACGUUAGUAACCUGCCCUUGACUUUGGGAUAACUUCAGGAAACUGGGGCUAAUACCGGAUAGGAGCUCCUGCUGCAUGGUGGGGGUUGGAAAGUUUCGGCGGUUGGGGAUGGACUCGCGGCUUAUCAGCUUGUUGGUGGGGUAGUGGCUUACCAAGGCUUUGACGGGUAGCCGGCCUGAGAGGGUGACCGGCCACAUUGGGACUGAGAUACGGCCCAGACUCCUACGGGAGGCAGCAGUGGGGAAUAUUGCACAAUGGGCGGAAGCCUGAUGCAGCAACGCCGCGUGCGGGAUGACGGCCUUCGGGUUGUAAACCGCUUUCGCCUGUGACGAAGCGUGAGUGACGGUAAUGGGUAAAGAAGCACCGGCUAACUACGUG
rnacentral:rRNA from 1 species